rnacentral:rRNA from 1 species
CAUAUCAAUAAGCGGAGGAAAAGAAACCAACAGGGAUUGCCCCAGUAACGGCGAGUGAAGCGGCAACAGCUCAAAUUUGAAAUCUGGUCCCCAGGGCCCGAGUUGUAAUUUGUAGAGGAUGCUUUUGGCGCGGCGCCUUCCGAGUUCCCUGGAACGGGACGCCACAGAGGGUGAGAGCCCCGUCUGGUCGGAUGCCAAGCCUGUGUAAAGCUCCUUCGACGAGUCGAGUAGUUUGGGAAUGCUGCUCAAAAUGGGAGGUAUAUGUCUUCUAAAGCUAAAUAUUGGCCAGAGACCGAUAGCGCACAAGUAGAGUGAUCGAAAGAUGAAAAGCACUUUGAAAAGAGAGUUAAAAAGUACGUGAAAUUGUUGAAAGGGAAGCGCCUAUGACCAGACUUGGGCCCGGUGAAUCACCCAGCGUUCUCGCUGGUGCACUUCGCCGGGCACAGGCCAGCAUCAGUUUGGCGCGGGGGACAAAGGCGGCGGGAACGUGGCUCCCUCGGGAGUGUUAUAGCCCGCCGCGCAAUACCCUGCGCCGGACUGAGGUACGCGCUCCGCAAGGAUGCUGGCGUAAUGGUCAUCAGCGACCCGUCUUGAAACACGGACCAAGGAGUCGUCUUCGUAUGCGAGUGUUCGGGUGUCAAACCCCUACGCGUAAUGAAAGUGAACGCAGGUGAGAGCUUCGGCGCAUCAUCGACCGAUCCUGAUGUUCUCGGAUGGAUUUGAGUAAGAGCAUACGGGGCCGGACCCGAAAGAAGGUGAACUAUGCCUGUAUAGGGUGAAGCCAGAGGAAACUCUGGUGGAGGCUCGCAGCGGUUCUGACGUGCGAAUCGAUCGUCAAAUAUGGGCAUGGGGGCGAAAGACUAAUCGAACCUUCUAGUAGCUGGUUUCCGCCGA